CCGUCGUCAUUCCGUGCGUCGUCAAGAAAUCCCAAGAGUCGGGUGAAGAUGGAGCCAACAACAUAGUGUUCACCAAGUGCACGGCAGGAAGCUCGAGCCAGGAUUUAUCAGCAUUCGUACGAGUAUUGAGUAGCGUUUGAUGCUGGUGAGCCGAUUUAUAAUUUUUGUAAGUUUAUCUGAUGAUUGGAUUAACUAGAAUUAUUAGUCGUAAUAAUCCUCGUAUUUAGCGCAGGCGCGUUGUGGUAGUGUUAAAAAUAAGUGAAGUACGAUGGGUUUAGUAAUACGAAAGGUAGAUUAAUUUAGGGAUAUCUAAGCGAGGUGGCGACGUAAAGGAUAGAUUUAGUAUUUCAUAUAGCUAUCUGAUGAAUUUUAUCAUUGUCAAUUGCACUAAAUAAAUAAUAUAAAGAAAUGUUUGAUUAUUUAUGGACAUGUAAAAUAUGUGAGGAGUGAAAUAAAAUUUAAAUAGUUCUUUAUGAGCGAUGUAGUAUAAUUUAUAAAGCAAGGGAUAAAGUUAGUAUUUAAUUAAUUAGCUGGUGAGUUGUGUAGGCUAAUUAUAUUUAAUGUGUAUAGUUUGUUGUUUGUGAUGUUUGUGAUAGGUUCGAGAAGCGUAAUUAUUACGCUUAGUCAUACGCUGAUAACUAGUGUUUUCGAAUAAAACGGUACAACCCCUCGCCGCUAGGUGUUUUAUUCGCUAUCGCGUAGCACUAUUUAGGUGUGUGAUCUUCUUGUCGAUAUGCAUUCAUGUGCAUAAUGCAUUUCAUUCAGGUACGUUAAUUAAUCGCGUGAUGCGGAAGACAAGCCAAGUCGAUCCCAAGUGCGGGCUAACCCGCGGGAUGAUGCAGAUGGAUAACCCGAUCAAGUACCAGG
rnacentral:lncRNA from 1 species